AAAAAGCUAUGCAAUGACUUCAACUUUCCCUGCUUCACCUAGUCAAAUAGAAACUAAGGCACCAUGGAACACUAAUUCUAAAAUGGAAGCCUCUUCUGGGUCCUUAUCUACCACUAUUUCAUCUGGUGUUUCAGAAAUGAGGACAGCACCAACUGUUAUUCCUUCAGAAACACAUACUAAAGUUGCAUUAGUCACACACAUUAUUGGGCAACUGACAUCAGUCGGGUCUACUCUCCCUUUUUCUUCAGGUAAAAUAGAAAAUAUGCCAUCACUGGUCUCUAGCUCUGGCAUACAAAGUCAUUCAGUGACUUCAAUUCAGGAUACUUCUGUAAACCAAGCAGUAUCCACAACCACAUGGGCCACACAUACUGGAAGAGAAAACACUUCAGGGACUGAAUCUACAUUAAUCUCAACUAGUGCUCCAGAGAUGAUAACUUCAAUAACCAAAAAUCAAACUUCUUCUGAUACACAGACCAUAACUUCAUUCAUCACACAUUCUGCAGGACAACCCAGUUUAUCGGUGUCUCCCUAUGGUGCCUCUCCCGGGAUAACAGUAGUGACACCAUCACAAUUCAGUGACUUAGGCACAGAAAGCAACACAAUGACUUCAACUUUGCCUGCUUCACCAGGUCAAGCAGAAUCUAAGACACCAUGGGACUCUCAUUCUGAAAUGGAAGCCACUUCUGGGCCAGUACCCACUACUGUUUCAUCUGGUGUUUUAGAAAUGAUGAUCUCACCAACAGUUAUUCCUUCAGAACCACCUACUAAAGUUCCAUUAGUCACCCAUGUUGUGGGGCCAUCCACUUCAUCCUUGUCUACUUUACAUGUCUCUCCAGGUAUACCAGAAAUUACACCAUCAGUGGUCACUAGCUAUGGCCCAGAAAGCCAUUCUGUGGCUUCUACAAUGGGUAUUUUCAUUGAUCAAGCAGGAUCCACGACCACAUGGUCUGCCCAAACUGGAAGAGGAAACACUCCAGGAACUGAAUCUGCAUUACUCUCAACCAGUGCUCCAGAGUUGAUGACUUCACUAACAAGGAAUCCAAAUUCUUCUGAAACAGAGGCUAUAACAUCAUUCAUUACCCAUCCUGGAGGAGAAAGCACUUCAGGGACUGUAUCUACAAUAAUCUCAAGCAGGGCUCCUGAUGUGAUGACUUCAGUAACUAAGAAUCAAAGUUCUUCUGAUACACAGAUCACCCAUGCUGGAGGACAGCCCAGUUUAUCUGCGUCUACUCAGGGUGUCUCUCCCAGGAUAACAGUAGUGACACCAUCAGAGUUCACUGGCUUAAGCUCAAAACGUUAUGCAAUGAGUUCAUCUUUGCCUACUUCACCUGGGCUAGAAGAAACUAAGACACCAUGGGUCAGUAGUUCUGAAUUGGAAGCCACUUCUGGGCCUUUAUCUACCACUAUUUUACCUGGUGUUCAGGAAAUGAUGACCUCACCAUCUGUAUUUCCUUCAGAACAACAAACUACGGUUCCAUUAGUCAGCCAUUAUGUGGGACAACCAACUUCAGUCAUGUCUACUCUCCCAUUCUCUCCAGGCAGAACAGAAAGAAUGCCAUCAGUUUUCCCUAGCUCUGGCACAGAAAGCCAUUCAGUGACUUCUACUCAGGAUACUUCUAUAGAUCAAGCAGUAUCAACAACCCCAUGGUCUACCCUCACUGGAAGAGGACAUACAAUAGGAACUGACUCUCCAUUAAUCUCAACCAGUGCUCCAGAGACAAUAACUUCAAUAACUAAGAAUGGAACUUCUUCUGAUACACAGACCAUAACAUCAUUCAUCACCCAUCAUGGAGGACAGCCCAGUUUAUCUGUGUCUACUCACGGUAUCUCUCCUGGGAUAACACAAGUGUCACCAUCACAAUUCACUGACUUCAGCACAAAAAGC
rnacentral:lncRNA from 1 species